AAAAGUAGGUUAGCAGGGUAGUAGACACACACACGCGGAGCAAGAUGGCCUCCACGGCUGCUGCAGCGUCAGCAAAAAAAACGCUCAGUCUGUGUCUGUGUCUGUGUCGGCCUCGUACUCCGCUCUCGUCCCGAGAAGCGAGAGAACCCCGAGAAAUAGUGUGAACAGCGGAGAGACUGCAGGCGAGGGUGUUAGGUGGGGGGUCGGCACCCGGCCGAGUCCAGCCUGGCACCGCUAGCCACGCCAACCUGUCUGCGUCUCCGAGGCGGAGAGAUCGGGAGAAAAAUGGAAGAGAAAGAGCGCUCGUUUUUUUUAUGUUUCCACUGCCUGGCCUGCGUUGAGCGCGCGGCAGUUGAGGAGGAAGAGGCGAAUUGGAAAAAAGUGGGGAAAAUGGGAGGAAACGAAUGCCACCCUCUGGUUUUUGCGUAUGAGCAAACAUGGUAUCAGACCUACACACAGAGGCGAACGCGCCAAGCUUUGGAUUUUUUAGAACUGAAGGUAACUGGGGUACAAGGAAAAUUUGGGCAGCUUUGGUUUCUU
ensembl:ncRNA F59B10.7 ncRNA